rnacentral:rRNA from 1 species
CCUAUGGGGGGCUGCAGUAAGGAAUAUUGGUCAAUGGACGCAAGUCUGAACCAGCCAUGCCGCGUGGAGGAUGAAGGUCCUCUGGAUUGUAAACUUCUUUUAUUUGGGAAGAAACUCCCGAUUUCCAUCGGGAUUGACGGUACCAGAUGAAUAAGCACCGGCUAACUCCGUGCCAGCAGCCGCGGUAAUACGGAGGGUGCAAGCGUUAUGGGUAUUCACUGGGGUUAAUGGGCAGGUAGGGCAGUGGUGAAAUCUCCGGGCUUAACCCGGAAACUGCCAUUGAUACUAUUUGUCUUGAAUACUCUGGAGGUGAGCGGAAUAUGUCAUGUAGCGGUGAAAUGCUUAGAUAUGACAUAGAACACCCAUUGCGAAGGCAGCUCACUACGGAAAUAUUGACGCUGAGGCACGAAAGCGUGGGGAUCAAACAGGAUUAGAUACCCGAGUAGUC